CAGCCGCCGCGGGAAUACGUAGGGUGCAAGCGUUAAUCGGAAUUACUGGGCGUAAAGCGUGCGCAGGCGGUUAUAUAAGACAGAUGUGAAAUCCCCGGGCUCAACCUGGGAACUGCAUUUGUGACUGUAUAGCUAGAGUACGGCAGAGGGGGAUGGAAUUCCGCGUGUAGCAGUGAAAUGCGUAGAUAUGCGGAGGAACACCGAUGGCGAAGGCAAUCCCCUGGGCCUGUACUGACGCUCAUGCACGAAAGCGUGGGGAGCAAACAGGAUUAGAUACCCGUGUAGUCCCUGUCUCUUAUAU
rnacentral:rRNA from 1 species